UACGUAGGUGGCAAGCGUUGUCCGGAAUUAUUGGGCGUAAAGGGUGCGUAGGCGGCGCGGUAAGUCGGGUGUGAAAUCUCGGAGCUUAACUCCGAAACUGCAUUCGAUACUGCCGUGCUUGAGGACUGGAGAGGAGACUGGAAUUUACGGUGUAGCGGUGAAAUGCGUAGAUAUCGUAAGGAAGACCAGUGGCGAAGGCGGGUCUCUGGACUGCAACUGACACUGAAAAACGAAAGCCAGGGGAGCAAACGGG
rnacentral:rRNA from 1 species